rnacentral:rRNA from 1 species
GAUGAACGCUGGCGGCGUGCCUAAUACAUGCAAGUCGAGCGAACAGACGAGGAGCUUGCUCCUCUGACGUUUUCGGCGGACGGGUGAGUAACACGUGGAUCACCUACCUAUAAGACUGGGAUCACUUCGGGACACCGGAGAUAAUACCAGAUUAUAUAUUGAACCGCAUGGUUCAAUAGUGAAAGACGGUUUUGCUGUCACUUAUAGAUGGAUCCGCGCCUCAUUUGCUAGUUGGUAAGGUAACGGCUUACCACGGCAACGAUUCGUCGCCGACCUGAGAGGGUGAGCGGCCACACGGGAACUGAGACACGGCCCAGACUCCUACGGGGGGCAGCAGUAGGGAAUCUUCCGCAAUGGGCGAAAGCCUGACGGAGCAACGCCGCGUGAGUGAUGAAGGUCUUCGGAUCGUAAAACUCUGUUAUUAGGGAAGAACAAAUGUGUAAGUAACUAUGCACGUCUUGACGGUACCUACUCAGAAAGCCACGGCAAACUACGU